GACGAACGCUGGCGGCGUGCUUAACACAUGCAAGUCGAACGGAAAGGCCCUGCUUUUGUGGGGUGCUCGAGUGGCGAACGGGUGAGUAACACGUGAGUAACCUGCCCUUGACUUUGGGAUAACUUCAGGAAACUGGGGCUAAUACCGGAUAGGAGCUCCUGCUGCAUGGUGGGGGUUGGAAAGUUUCGGCGGUUGGGGAUGGACUCGCGGCUUAUCAGCUUGUUGGUGGGGUAGUGGCUUACCAAGGCUUUGACGGGUAGCCGGCCUGGGAGGGUGACCGGCCACCAUGGUACUGCGGUACGGAGCAGACUCCUACGGGAGGCAGCAGGGGGGAGUAUUGCACAAUGGGCGGAAGCCUGAUGCAGCAACGCCGCGUGCGGGAUGACGGCCUUCGGGUUGUAAACCGCUUUCGCCUGUAACGAAGCGGGAGUGACGGUAAUGGGUAAAAAAGCACCGGCUAACUACGUG
rnacentral:rRNA from 1 species